rnacentral:rRNA from 1 species
AUUGAACGCUGGCGGCAUGCUUUACACAUGCAAGUCGAACGGUAACAGGCCGCAAGGUGCUGACGAGUGGCGAACGGGUGAGUAAUGCAUCGGAACGUGCCCAGUCGUGGGGGAUAACGCAGCGAAAGCUGUGCUAAUACCGCAUACGAUCUAUGGAUGAAAGCGGGGGACCGUAAGGCCUCGCGCGAUUGGAGCGGCCGAUGUCAGAUUAGGUAGUUGGUGGGGUAAAGGCUCACCAAGCCAACGAUCUGUAGCUGGUCUGAGAGGACGACCAGCCACACUGGGACUGAGACACGGCCCAGACUCCUACGGGAGGCAGCAGUGGGGAAUUUUGGACAAUGGGCGCAAGCCUGAUCCAGCAAUGCCGCGUGCAGGAAGAAGGCCUUCGGGUUGUAAACUGCUUUUGUACGGAACGAAAAGGUUUGGGUUAAUACCCUGGGCCGAUGACGGUACCGUAAGAAUAAGCACCGGCUAACUACGUGCCAGCAGCCGCGGUAAUAC